AGUGAACGCUGGCGGUAGGCCUAACACAUGCAAGUCGAACGGCAGCACAGUAAGAGCUUGCUCUUACGGGUGGCGAGUGGCGGACGGGUGAGGAAUACAUCGGAAUCUACUUUUUCGUGGAGGAUAACGUAGGGAAACUUACGCUAAUACCGCAUACGACCUACGGGUGAAAGCAGGGGAUCUUCGGACCUUGCGCGAUUGAAUGAGCCGAUGUCGGAUUAGCUAGUUGGCGGGGUAAAAGCCCACCAAGGCGACGAUCCGUAGCUGGUCUGAGAGGAUGAUCAGCCACACUGGAACUGAGACACGGUCCAGACUCCUACGGGAGGCAGCAGUGGGGAAUAUUGGACAAUGGGCGCAAGCCUGAUCCAGCCAUACCGCGUGGGUGAAGAAGGCCUUCGGGUUGUAAAGCCCUUUUGUUGGGAAAGAAAAGCAGCAGGUUAAUACCCCGCUGUUCUGACGGUACCCAAAGAAUAAGCACCGGCUAACUUCGUG
rnacentral:rRNA from 1 species